rnacentral:tRNA from 1 species
AGGUGCUUAGCUCAGUUGGUUAGAGCGUGGUGCUAAUAACGCCAAGGUCGCGAGUUCGACCCUCGUAGUGACCA